UCCUUUGGCAAGGUGAAAAUUGCUGAGCAUAUACUAACAGGGCACAAAGUUGCUAUCAAGGUCCUCAACCGGCGUAAGAUUAAAAGCAUGGACAUGGAAGAGAAAGUGAGGCGAGAGAUCAAAAUAUUGAGAUUAUUCAUGCAUCCUCAUAUCAUACGCCUUUACGAGGUCAUUGAGACGCAUACAGAUAUAUAUGUUGUGAUGGAAUAUGUGAAGUCAGGGGAACUAUUUGAUUACAUUGUAGAGAAG
rnacentral:misc_RNA from 1 species